AUCCACCUUCCGGUAACUCCGGUAUAGCCUUUCGAAAGAAAGAUUAAUCCCGGAUAGUAUGGUGAUUCCGCAUGGUUUUUCCAUUAAAGGAUUCCGGUUACCGAUGGGGAUGCGUUCCAUUAGGCAGUUGGCGGGGUAACGGCCCACCAAACCUACGAUGGAUAGGGGUUCUGAGAGGAAGGUCCCCCACAUUGGAACUGAAACACGGUCCCAACUCCUACCGGAAGCAGCAGUGAAGAAUAUUGGUCCAUGGGCGGAAGCCUGAACCAGCCCAGUAGCGUGAAGGAUGACUGGCCUAUGGGUUGGAAACUUCUUUUAUAAGGGAAUAAUUGCGGGUACGCGUACCCGUUUGCAUGUACCUUAUGAAUAAAGAUCGGCUAAC
rnacentral:rRNA from 1 species